rnacentral:rRNA from 1 species
UGGUUGACCUCGGAUCAGGUAGGGAUACCCGCUGAACUUAAGCAUAUCA